ACUCAAAUGAAUUGACGGGGGCCCGCACAAGCGGUGGAGCAUGCGGUUUAAUUCGAUGCAACGCGAAGAACCUUACCUACUCUUGAAUCCACAGAAUUUUGCAGAGAUGCGAAGGUGCCUUCGGGAACUGUGAGACAGGUGCUGCAUGGCUGUCGUCAGCUCGUGUCGUGAGAUGUUGGGUUAAGUCCCGUAACGAGCGCAACCCUUGUCCUUAGUUACUAACGAGUAAAGUCGAGGACUCUAAGGAGACUGCCGGUGACAAACCGGAGGAAGGUGGGGACGAUGUCAAGUCAUCAUGGCCCUUACGAGUAGGGCUACACGCGUGCUACAAUGGUGGGUACAAAGGGAAGCCAAACCGCGAGGUGGAGCAAAUCCUAUAAAAACCCAUCGUAGUCCGGAUUGGAGUCUGCAACUCGACUCCAUGAAGCUGGAAUCGCUAGUAAUCGUGGAUCAGAACGCCACGGUGAAUACGUUCUCGGGCCUUGUACACACCGCCCGU
rnacentral:rRNA from 1 species